CUGCUUCACUCUGUGAAUAUUAUAGACAAAAAUAAAUAAUGAACACCUAAUGCAAGAAGUCUCAAAACCAAAGAGCUGAGGAAAUAUAUUUGGCAAAGGUUUUAGCUCUAAAUUCACACCAAGAAAGAAAAACUAGAGAAUUCCUUGACAUCAAUACCAAAGAAACCAAGUUUAUAGUGCUGUUUAUAUAGAAAUAGAAAGGGAUAAAGACAGUAAUGAAUAUUGUGGAAUGUUUUAGGAUGUUAAAAGAUAUAACUAAGAACUGAAGACAAGAAGUUUAACGUCCAAA
rnacentral:lncRNA from 1 species